rnacentral:rRNA from 1 species
UACGUAGGGGGCGAGCGUUGUCCGGAUUCAUUGGGCGUAAAGAGCUCGUAGGCGGUUCAGUAAGUCGGGUGUGAAAUCUCCGUGCUCAACACGGAGCGGCCACCUGAUACUGCUGUGACUCGAGUCCGGUAGGGAGUGUGGAAUUCCCGGUGUAGCGGUGAAAUGCGCAGAUAUCGGGAGGAACACCAGUAGCGAAGGCGGCACUCUGGGCCGUGACUGACGCUGAGGAGCGAAAGCGUGGGUAGCAAACAGG